GGGCGUGUAGCUCAAUGGUAGAGCAGUAGCCUUUUAAGCUAUUGGUUGGGGGUUCGAGCCCCUCCACGCUCA
rnacentral:tRNA from 1 species